GGAGGAAAGUAGGGGAUCGAAAGACCUUAUGCUUUUGGAGCGGCCGAUGUCUGAUUAGCUAGUUGGUAGGGUAAUGGCUUACCAAGGCAACGAUCAGUAGUUGGUCUGAGAGGACGACCAGCCACACUGGGACUGAGACACGGCCCAGACUCCUACGGGAGGCAGCAGUGGGGAAUUUUGGACAAUGGGCGCAAGCCUGAUCCAGCAAUGCCGCGUGAGUGAAGAAGGCCUUCGGGUUGUAAAGCUCUUUCAGUUGAGAAGAAAAAGUCGUGACUAAUAAUCAUGAUUCAUGACGGUAUCAACAGAAGAAGCACCGGCUAACUACGUGCCAGCAGCCGCGGUAAUACGUAGGGUGCAAGCGUUAAUCGGAAUUACUGGGCGUAAAGGGUGCGCAGGCGGUUCUGUAAGUCAGAUGUGAAAUCCCCGGGCUUAACCUGGGAACUGCGUUUGAAACUACAAAGCUAGA
rnacentral:rRNA from 1 species